GGGGGAUUGGGGUAGCCUGGCAUCCUUCGUCCUUGGGGUGGACGUGACCUGAGUUCGAAUCUCAGAUCCCCCA
rnacentral:tRNA from 1 species